UCAAGGGCUUUCUUCCAAAUUGGACCUUUAGAUGCCAACAGAGCUGACUCCGUCCCUGAAAACAUGCUCGAGAUGUUGCUGUGAACAUAGUUUUCAGAUGUGAUGAACACUUUCAACCAGUUGACUUUCAGUAAAGCAGUCGUCCCCUUACUCUGAGCUCAUCCCAUCAGCGGAAGGCCUGAAGAGUCAAAACUGAGCUUUCCAGAAGAAGGAAUUUUGCCACAGCACCGAGAUCCUGCCUGAACUUCGGACCUGCCAGCCUGACCUACCGACUGUAGGCUUGCCAGUCCCGUGAUCACGGGUCUCGAAUUUUCAAAGCGCGAAGAGCGAUGGUGUCGACCUGGAUGAAGCAAAUGGUCUUCAAACCUACAUCAGUUUCAGCACUCAAAACCUUGAAUGUGUGCAUGGGGACCAUGGUCCGUUACAGGAGACUGCUUGCAGCUGAGUCAACGGGGGAUCCAAAGUGUUAUGGAAAGAAAUCCACCAGGAACCUGAGAAUCUUCCUUGUGACUAUUUCAAAACCGCAGGCAAAGUUUCAGAACACUGCAGGAUCAAGUGUGGCUUUGGGUCGCAAGAUAACACGAGCAUUCAAUUUCAAUAGUUCCCUUUUACUUCUUUUUGCCACGAGACAAAAUUUUAUUGUUAUAAACGCUCCUCUAAAGCAUCAGUAUUAGUAGGCUGAGAUUCGCUUUAUGAUGAAUAAAAGUGAAAGAGGGAGUAUUUA